CUGCAUUCCCAAACCCCCUGGGUGUCCUUGACCACCUCUGCACCCAGGACAAGAAGGAAUGCUACAUGAUCACUCCGGAGAUUUCCAACGUGCUGAGCUGCACGCGUGCUUGACACUAUUUCACCUCUCUGACAUAG